AUUGAACGCUGGCGGCAGGCCUAACACAUGCAAGUCGAGCGGCAGCGGGAAAGUAGCUUGCUACUUUUGCCGGCGAGCGGCGGACGGGUGAGUAAUGCCUGGGGAUCUGCCCAGUCGAGGGGGAUAACUACUGGAAACGGUAGCUAAUACCGCAUACGCCCUACGGGGGAAAGCAGGGGACCUUCGGGCCUUGCGCGAUUGGAUGAACCCAGGUGGGAGUAGCUAGUUGGUGAGGUAAUGGCUCACCAAGGCGACGGUCCCUAGCUGGUCUGAGAGGAUGAUCAGCCACACUGGAACUGAGACACGGUCCAGACUCCUACGGGAGGCAGCAGUGGGGAAUAUGGCACAAUGGGGGAAACCCUGAUGCAGCCAUGCCGCGUGUGUGAAGAAGGCCUUCGGGUUGUAAAGCACUUUCAGCGAGGAGGAAAGGUUGGUAGCUAAUAACUGCCAGCUGUGACGUUACUCGCAGAAGAAGCACCGGCUAACUCCGUGCCAGCCGCCGCCGUAACAC
rnacentral:rRNA from 1 species